rnacentral:lncRNA from 1 species
GUUGCUACAGAUACCCCCACAAUGUUGCGAAUAUAUAUGUCUUUUUUAAGAAAAAGAUCGAUAGGGUUGCUAUCUGUUUCAUUCAUAGCGAAUACGAUCGAACCGAGCUACAUUAGUGGGGCAACUGGCUCCGAAAACCAGAAAUGUCCCAAACAAGAGCAGGCAAAAAAAAAAAAGAAGAUUAUAAUGUACCAAAUACAAGCUGGGGUAAUUUAUGACUGUUAAUCAAAAAAAUCCUCCCAUUGCUUCGCUAGCAAUUUGGUUCUAUUGACUGCCGCCAUUAGCUUAGUGUUGAUCUCUCUGAAAAUAAAAUUGUUUCUUUUUGUCCAUAUAAUCCAUCAGCAAACUACAAGUAAAUACGAUCUUCCCAAGUUGCCUUUUUCUUGAUACGCUCUUUCCAAGUCGCCCUUUUCCAAACUUCAUGGACAUCUUUAACAAGAAUUAAUACAAUCCAUAUCCCCUUCGCCAACCAUCACCACAAGCAUAAGAUAUCUACUGAAAAUACAAUCUGUGAAGAUGUGAACUACCGUCUCUAAAAAAGAUCCAUAGAACACACAAGAUAGGUUUCCCGUCCAACC